AAGUCGAGCGGUCUCUUUCGGGAGACAGCGGCGGACGGGUUAGUAACGCGUGGGAACGUGCCCUUUAGUACGGAAUAGCCAUUGGAAACGAUGAUUAAUACCGUAUACGCCCUAUGGGGGAAAGAUUUAUCGCUAAAGGAUCGGCCCGCGUUAGAUUAGGUUGUUGGUGGGGUAAUGGCCUACCAAGCCUACGAUCUAUAGCUGGUUUGAGAGGAUGAUCAGCAACACUGGGACUGAGACACGGCCCAGACUUCUACGGAAGGCAGCAGUAGGGAAUCUUGGACAAUGGGCGAAAGCCUGAUCCAGCCAUGCCGCGUGAGUGAUGAAGGCCCUAGGGUUGUAAAACUCUUUCGCCAGGGAAGAUAAUGACUGUACCUGGUAAAGAAACCCCGGCUAACUCCGUGCCAGCAGCCGCGGUAAUACGGAGGGGGUUAGCGUUGUUCGGAAUUACUGGGCGUAAAGCGCACGUAGGCGGACUAGUCAGUCAGAGGGUGAAAUCCCGAGGCUCAACCUCGGAACUGCCCUUGAUACUGCUAGUCUAGAGUUCGAGAGA
rnacentral:rRNA from 1 species